ACACUCCUGCGGGAGGCAGCAGUGGGGAAUAUUGCACAAUGGGCGCAAGCCUGAUGCAGCCAUGCCGCGUGUAUGAAGAAGGCCUUCGGGUUGUAAAGUACUUUCAGCGGGGAGGAAGGCGAUAAGGUUAAUAACCUUGUUGAUUGACGUUACCCGCAGAAGAAGCACCGGCUAACUCCGUGCCAGCAGCCGCGGUAAUACGGAGGGUGCAAGCGUUAAUCGGAAUUACUGGGCGUAAAGCGCACGCAGGCGGUCUGUCAAGUCGGAUGUGAAAUCCCCGGGCUCAACCUGGGAACUGCAUUCGAAACUGGCAGGCUAGAGUCUUGUAGAGGGGGGUAGAAUUCCAGGUGUAGCGGUGAAAUGCGUAGAGAUCUGGAGGAAUACCGGUGGCGAAGGCGGCCCCCUGGACAAAGACUGACGCUCAGGUGCGAAAGCGUGGGGAGCAAACAGGAUUAGAAACCCUAGUAGUCC
rnacentral:rRNA from 1 species